CUGCUCCAUGCAAAGGCACCACCCACAUGCAAAUCCUCACUUAGGCACCCACAGGAAACCACCACACGUUUCCUUAAAUUCAGGGUCCUGCUCACAUGGGAAAGGCUUUCUGAGAGUCAUGGACCUCACAUGCAAGAGCAUGAAACACCUGUGGUUUUUCCUCCUCCUUGUGGCAGCUCCCAGACGGGUCCUGUCCCAGGUGCAGCUGCAGCAGUGGGGCCCAGGACUGGUGAAGUCUUCGGAGACCCUGUCCCUCACCUGCGCUGUCUAUGGUUACUCCAUCAGUAGUGGUUACUGGUGGAGCUGGAUCCGCCAGCCUCCAGGGAAGGGGCUGGAGUGGAUUGGGUACAUCUAUCAUAGUGGGAGCACCUACUACAACCCGUCCCUCAAGAGUCGAGUCACCAUAUCAGCAGACCCGUCCAAGAACCAGUUCUCCCUGAGGCUGAACUCUGUGACCGCGGCGGACACGGCCGUGUAUUACUGUGCGAGACACAGUGAGGGGAGGUGAGUGUGAGCCCAGACACAAACCUCCCUGCAGGGAGGCGGCGGGGUGGGCACAGGUGCUGCUCAGGACCAGCAGGGGGUGCGCAGGGCCCACAGAGCCCGAGGCC